CGACUGCACUCCUCGCUCCACUGCUCCGUUCCUUCGCUCGUUCCUUUCCUUGCUCGACUCCUCGUUCUCUGCAGCAAUCGAAGAUCAAGGAAGCAGUUGGUGUACUGUGGCCUCACUUGACUAGUUCGAUUAGCACUGUUGAUGCAAUUCAAGAGUUGGAAGCCAUGGCAACAAUGGACUUCACUGUAGUGCCGGUCGUAGGCUCAAGUUUCAUCACGCCAAGCUGAGGGAGUAGUUGCCCGGCCAUAGAUCUUGGACUCUUUUGUGAGAUUCCAGAAUAGAUGGGAGGAUCAUUUUAGCUGUACAAAUUGUUCUAACAUAGACCUCACAAGAGAAAGGGGUUUGUAAAGCUGAAUGUAUGGUGUGGCAAGUUCUAGUAUUGGUUAGUGUUAAAUUGGUGGGAAGGUUUUAUCUGAACACUAGAGUUCUUUUUCCUUAGUGCAGCAAUCAGGUGACGGAUCAAUAUUCCCCAUUCAAGUUAAUUUAUAUCGUGUUGUUGCAAUUGCAAA